rfam:Dipodomys ordii contig_37956, whole genome shotgun sequence.
GGUGGCUCAGUGGUAGAGCUCUUGCCUUGCAUCCAUGAGGCCCUGGGUUCAAUUCCUCAGCACCA